CCCCUUCUGCCCGCCGGCUCCGGAAGUGCCGGUGGACGGCGGAGAUCCCUCGCGAGCCCUACCUGCCCCUGUCCGAGGCCGGCCACCAGGGGGCAGUACAGAGCAGGAGCGGUCGGCCAGGCCUGGCACCCCCCGGGACUCGCGAGAGUUCUCUUCCCACUGUCCUGGAAACCUCCAAGAGUGGGGUUCGUUUGGAAUUUAACUGAAAAGCCUAACAUGGAUUCCCAACUUGAAGUAAAUAAUAAACAUGAAGAACUCUUUAAAUAAUUA